AUCGAAAGAAGAGGACGCGAUUAACAAGAGUAGUUGAGCUGAGCCGGUCAGGUGUGGACGCUUAAUGAAAGGGGCAAUCGCCGAAAUGGAACGGGUGGACCACCUAAUCUGUUGGGCCUUGGUUGAAUAAAUCAAGGACUGUCGCAGUCAUUAAUAGGCUGCGGGGCGCUAUCGACGAU
rnacentral:ncRNA from 2 species